UCACAUGUCAAGACAACACACGUGGCAUCUUGUGAUAACACUAAGUUUUACCAAAAUUGAUGCCGACACAAAUAACCAACAAACUCCCCCUUUGGAAAAUUUUGGCUAAAACAUGCAUUAGAUCAUACGUUCACCAGAAAUCAAUCAAAGUAUCAGUUCAGUGGCAGAAGUAAACAUACACACAUUACUAGCAAAAAUAGCAACUAGUUAACACACAUGCGCUUGUG
rnacentral:lncRNA from 1 species